rnacentral:rRNA from 1 species
AGUGAACGCUGGCGGUAGGCCUAACACAUGCAAGUCGAACGGCAGCACAGUAAGAGCUUGCUCUUACGGGUGGCGAGUGGCGGACGGGUGAGGAAUACAUCGGAAUCUACUUUUUCGUGGGGGAUAACGUAGGGAAACUUACGCUAAUACCGCAUACGACCUACGGGUGAAAGCAGGGGAUCUUCGGACCUUGCGCGAUUGGAUGAGCCGAUGUCGGAUUAGCUAGUUGGCGGGGUAAAGGCCCACCAAGGCGACGAUCCGUAGCUGGUCUGAGAGGAGGAUCAGCCACACUGGAACUGAGCCACGGUCCAGACUCCUACGGGAGGCAGCAGUGGGGAAUAUUGGACAAUGGGCGCAAGCCUGAUCCAGCCAUACCGCGUGGGUGAAGAAGGCCUUCGGGUUGUAAAGCCCUUUUGUUGGGAAAGAAAAGCAGCAGGUUAAUACCCCGCUGUUCUGACGGUACCCAAAGAAUAAGCACCGGCUAACUUCGUG